rnacentral:rRNA from 1 species
AUACAUGCAAGUCGAGCGGACAGAAGGGAGCUUGCUCCCGGAUGUUAGCGGCGGACGGGUGAGUAACACGUGGGUAACCUGCCUGUAAGACUGGGAUAACUCCGGGAAACCGGAGCUAAUACCGGAUAGUUCCUUGAACCGCAUGGUUCAAGGAUGAAAGACGGUUUCGGCUGUCACUUACAGAUGGACCCGCGGCGCAUUAGCUAGUUGGUGAGGUAACGGCUCACCAAGGCGACGAUGCGUAGCCGACCUGAGAGGGUGAUCGGCCACACUGGGACUGAGACACGGCCCAGACUCCUACGGGAGGCAGCAGUAGGGAAUCUUCCGCAAUGGACGAAAGUCUGACGGAGCAACGCCGCGUGAGUGAUGAAGGUUUUCGGAUCGUAAAGCUCUGUUGUUAGGGAAGAACAAGUGCAAGAGUAACUGCUUGCACCUUGACGGUACCUAACCAGAAAGCCACGGCUAACUACGUGCCAGCAGCCGCGGUAAUACGUAGGUGGCAAGCGUUGUCCGGAAUUAUUGGGCGUAAAGGGCUCGCAGGCGGUUUCUUAAGUCUGAUGUGAAAGCCCCCGGCUCAACCGGGGAGGGUCAUUGGAAACUGGGAAACUUGAGUGCAGAAGAGGAGAGU